AGCUGCUCAUCGCUGGAUUCUUUCGUGGUUGUCCAUGUGGUUCCUGUCCUCCUGGUUCCUGUUUGUUGGAUCUCCUGAGCCUGGAAUCCUCCACCUUCAACACCGUCUGUCAGGUGGAGGAAGAUAAGAGAACCCAGUUGACGAAAAAAGUAAGAACAUUUCUAUCUACAAAACAUAACUAAACAUUUCAGAUGGAGCUGCAUAGAGUUGAGCUGAAAGUUACAAACUGGUUCUGUCUGCUGUCCAUGAUUAUUUUCCUCUUUAACUCUGUUGUCUUUUCUCUUUAUUUCAUUUCUCUGUCAACUCAUGUCACAUGACUUGAGUUGACCAACAAAUAAAACAGAAGACCUGCUCCACCUGCUGAUCUACUGGUUGGAAGAGAUUGUGGAAAAGCGAGACAAGACAACAACUUUUGACUAAUGAGGAGAGAGAAGACACAGAGGACUGAGGAGACGCAGAAAAUCCUGCUGGAAAUCAAUAAAAAUGUUUCCUGAUGGAACAGGGGGACGGCUGAGGACAGGACACAACAUAAAGAGACAGAGACCAUGUGAAGUUGGAUCUCCUGAGCCUGGAAUCCUCCACCUUCAACACCGUCUGUCAGGUGGAGGAAGAUAAGAGAACCCAGUUGACGAAAAAAGUAAGAACAUUUCUAUCUACAAAACAUAACUAAACAUUUCAGAUGGAGCUGCAUAGAGUUGAGCUGAAAGUUACAAACUGGUUCUGUCUGCUGUCCAUGAUUAUUUUCCUCUUUAACUCUGUUGUCUUUUCUCUUUAUUUCAUUUCUCUGUCAACUCAUGUCACAUGACUUGAGUUGACCAACAAAUAAAACAGAAGACCUGCUCCACCUGCUGAUCUACUGGUUGGAAGAGAUUGUGGAAAAGCGAGACAAGACAACAACUUUUGACUAAUGAGGAGAGAGAAGACACAGAGGACUGAGGAGACGCAGAAAAUCCUGCUGGAAAUCAAUAAAAAUGUUUCCUGAUGGAACAGGGGGACGGCUGAGGACAGGACACAACAUAAAGAGACAGAGACCAUGUGAAAUUCAAGGAUGGCCUUUCAACCCUGGAUUUCAUUUAUGCUUUGGAGCUUCAUGCUUCUGUGUUCAGGCCCUUUGUGUGCGGAAAAGCUGACAUCAGAAAUGUGAGAGGAAAUCUUUGAAGUUCAGCUCAGCGAAAAGGGCAGCACCAGACGACAAGAAGAAACCAGACUGCUAGGAUUCUCCUUGAGACAGACCAAACCUCGCUUUCCUGUUCAAACUCUGACAAGAUACCAAAGCCCAAGACAUACGAUCAGUUUCAAAGAAGACAUGAACUUUGAAUUACAAAACUCUUUGGACUUUAUUAAGUUCAAAUACAGAAUCACAAAACAUAAAUGUGGAUGUUGGCCUGUGAAGGCAGAUGUUAACUUGUGAAACCUGCUCUGUCAAAGUUCUGACUCUGCUGCAUUGUGGUUGUUUGACAACCUUUAAAUUUUAGACUCAUUUAUUUCCAAGUCCACCAUGUUUUCUAGUCUUGUGUAGUUUUCCACAUAGGAUUCCCAAGUUAGUGGAUGCACUAGGCCACUGUCUCUGGAGGUCCUCAAACUGUCCCUAAAGACGGUCAUGGCCACAUUGACUGCUGAUUGACUCGGUCAUAAACUGUCCCAAUUCCUCCUGGGAGUCUGGGAACCUACAGUCUGUUCUGCCAAACCCAGGAGUAAAAUAUGCAUCAAAACAGGACACAUAGUUUAGUUAUAUAUUUAUAUUUCUUCAUUCAACUGUCACUACCAACUGCUACGACUAUUGUUGAAAACUGUUGUAAUGUUUAAUUGUAUUUACAUAUAAAUAUUAGAAAUGAAAAUGUUUAUGUCAUCAGAAACUGUUCCAAUAAAAAGUGACAUAUUAUUAACA